rnacentral:rRNA from 1 species
UACGUAGGGGCCUAGCGUUGUCCGGAUUUAUUGGGCGUAAAGAGCUCGUAGGCGGCUUGGUUAGUCAGGUGUGAAAUCUCCACGCUCAACGUGGAGGGGCCACCUGAUACUGCCAUGGCUUGAGUCCGGUAGGGGAGUGUGGAAUUCCCGGUGUAGCGGUGAAAUGCGCAGAUAUCGGGAAGAACACCCGUGGCGAAGGCGGCUCUCUGGGACGGUACUGACGCUGAGACGCGAAAGCGUGGGGAGCGAACAGG